rnacentral:rRNA from 1 species
UGGGGAAUAUUGGACAAUGGGGGCAACCCUGAUCCAGCCAUGCCGCGUGAGUGAUGAAGGCCUUAGGGUUGUAAAGCUCUUUCACCGGUGAAGAUAAUGACGGUAACCGGAGAAGAAGCCCCGGCUAACUUCGUGCCAGCAGCCGCGGUAAUACGAAGGGGGCUAGCGUUGAUCGGAAUUACUGGGCGUAAAGCGCACGUAGGCGGAUUGUUAAGUCGAGGGUGAAAUCCCAGGGCUCAACCCUGGAACUGCCUUCGAUACUGGCAUUCUUGAGUCCGAGAGAGGUGAGUGGAAUUCCGAGUGUAGAGGUNAAUUCGUAGAUAUUCGGAAGAACACCAGUGGCGAAGGCGGCUCACUGGCUCGGAACUGACGCUGAGGUGCGAAAAGCGUGGGGAGCAAAACAGGAUUAGAUACCCUGGUAGUCCACGCCGUAAACGAUGGGUGCUAGCCGUUGGGCAGCUUGCUGUUCAGUGGCGCCGCUAACGCUUUAAGCACCCCGCCUGGGGAGUACGGUCGCAAGAUUAAAAACUCAAAGGAAUUGAC